UACGAAGGGGCUAGCGUUGUUCGGAAUCACUGGGCGUAAAGCGCACGUAGGCGGAUUGCUAAGUCAGGGGUGAAAUCCUGGAGCUCAACUCCAGAACUGCCUUUGAUACUGGCGAUCUUGAGUCCGGGAGAGGUGAGUGGAACUCCGAGUGUAGAGGUGAAAUUCGUAGAUAUUCGGAAGAACACCAGUGGCGAAGGCGGCUCACUGGCCCGGUACUGACGCUGAUGUGCGAAAGCGUGGGGAGCAACAGGG
rnacentral:rRNA from 1 species